rnacentral:rRNA from 1 species
UACCAGCACCCCGAGUGGUCGGGACGUUUAUUGGGCCUAAAGCAUCCGUAGCCGGUUCUACAAGUCUUCCGUUAAAUCCAGCUGCUUAACAGAUGGGCUGCGGAAGAUACUAUGGAGCUAGGAGGCGGGAGAGGCAAGCGGUACUCGAUGGGUAGGGGUAAAAUCCGUUGAUCCAUUGAAGACCACCGGUGGCGAAGGCGGCCUGCUGGGCAGUAGCUGACACUGAGGCGCGACAGCGUGGGGAGCAAACAGG